UUGACCUCGGAUCAGGUAGGGAUACCCGCUGAACUUAAGCAUAUCAAUAAGCGGAGGAAAAGAAACCAACAGGGAUUGCCCUAGUAACGGCGAGUGAAGCGGCAACAGCUCAAAUUUGAAAUCUGGCUCUUUCAGAGUCCGAGUUGUAAUUUGCAGAGGGCGCUUUGGCUUUGGCAGCGGUCCAAGUUCCUUGGAACAGGACGUCACAGAGGGUGAGAAUCCCGUACGUGGUCGCUAGCUAUUGCCGUGUAAAGCCCCUUCGACGAGUCGAGUUGUUUGGGAAUGCAGCUCUAAAUGGGAGGUAAAUUUCUUCUAAAGCUAAAUAUUGGCCAGAGACCGAUAGCGCACAAGUAGAGUGAUCGAAAGAUGAAAAGCACUUUGGAAAGAGAGUCAAACAGCACGUGAAAUUGUUGAAAGGGAAGCGCUUGCAGCCAGACUUGCUUGCAGUUGCUCAUCCGGGCUUUUGCCCGGUGCACUCUUCUGUAGGCAGGCCAGCAUCAGUUUGGGCGGUGGGAUAAAGGUCUCUGUCACGUACCUCUCUUCGGGGAGGCCUUAUAGGGGAGACGACAUACCACCAGCCUAGACUGA
rnacentral:rRNA from 1 species